GUCGCAACGCUUUGUGGUUCAACUGAUUUGAAGAGCUUGCUCAGAUAUGACGAUGGACAUUGCAAAGAGUGGCGAACGGGUGAGUAACACGUGGGAAACCUACCUCUUAGCAGGGGAUAACAUUUGGAAACAGAUGCUAAUACCGUAUAACAAUGACAACCGCAUGGUUGUUAUUUAAAAGAUGGUUCUGCUAUCACUAAGAGAUGGUCCCGCGGUGCAUUAGCUAGUUGGUAAGGUAAUGGCUUACCAAGGCGAUGAUGCAUAGCCGAGUUGAGAGACUGAUCGGCCACAAUGGGACUGAGACACGGCCCAUACUCCUACGGGAGGCAGCAGUAGGGAAUCUUCCACAAUGGGCGAAAGCCUGAUGGAGCAACGCCGCGUGUGUGAUGAAGGGUUUCGGCUCGUAAAACACUGUUGUAAGAGAAGAAUGACAUUGAGAGUAACUGUUCAAUGUGUGACGGUAUCUUACCAGAAAGGAACGGCUAAAUACGUGCCAGCAGCCGCGGUAAUACGUAUGUUCCAAGCGUUAUCCGGAUUUAUUGGGCGUAAAGCGAGCGCAGACGGUUAUUUAAGUCUGAAGUGAAAGCCCUCAGCUCAACUGAGGAAUUGCUUUGGAAACUGGAUGACUUGAGUGCAGUAGAGGAAAGUGGAACUCCAUGUGUAGCGGUGAAAUGCGUAGAUAUAUGGAAGAACACCAGUGGCGAAGGCGGCUUUCUGGACUGUAACUGACGUUGAGGCUCGAAAGUGUGGGUAGCAAACAGGAUUAGAUACCCUGGUAGUCCACACCGUAAACGAUGAGUGCUAGGUGUUUGAGGGUUUCCGCCCUUAAGUGCCGCAGCUAACGCAUUAAGCACUCCGCCUGGGGAGUACGACCGCAAGGUUGAAACUCAAAGGAAUUGACGGGGACCCGCACAAGCGGUGGAGCAUGUGGUUUAAUUCGAAGCAACGCGAAGAACCUUACCAGGUCUUGACAUCCCUUGACAACUCCAGAGAUGGAGCGUUCCCUUCGGGGACAAGGUGACAGGUGGUGCAUGGUUGUCGUCAGCUCGUGUCGUGAGAUGUUGGGUUAAGUCCCGCAACGAGCGCAACCCUUAUUACUAGUUGCCAGCAUUCAGUUGGGCACUCUAGUGAGACUGCCGGUGACAAACCGGAGGAAGGUGGGGAUGACGUCAAAUCAUCAUGCCCCUUAUGACCUGGGCUACACACGUGCUACAAUGGCGUAUACAACGAGUUGCCAACCCGCGAGGGUGAGCUAAUCUCUUAAAGUACGUCUCAGUUCGGAUUGUAGGCUGCAACUCGCCUACAUGAAGUCGGAAUCGCUAGUAAUCGCGGAUCAGCACGCCGCGGUGAAUACGUUCCCGGGUCUUGUACACACCGCCCGUCACACCAUGAGAGUUUGUAACACCCAAAGCCGGUGGGGUAACCUUCGGGAGCCAGCCGU
rnacentral:rRNA from 1 species